UUUAUGGAGAGUUUGAUCCUGGCUCAGAGUGAACGCUGGCGGCGUGCCUAAUACAUGCAAGUCGAACGAUGAAGCUUCUAGCUUGCUAGAAUGCUGAUUAGUGGCGCACGGGUGAGUAACGCAUAGGUCAUGUGCCUCUUAGUUUGGGAUAGCCAUUGGAAACGAUGAUUAAUACCAGAUACUCCCUACGGGGGAAAGAUUUAUCGCUAAGAGAUCAGCCUAUGUCCUAUCAGCUUGUUGGUAAGGUAAUGGCUUACCAAGGCUAUGACGGGUAUCCGGCCUGAGAGGGUGAACGGACACACUGGAACUGAGACACGGUCCAGACUCCUACGGGAGGCAGCAGUAGGGAAUAUUGCUCAAUGGGGGAAACCCUGAAGCAGCAACGCCGCGUGGAGGAUGAAGGUUUUAGGAUUGUAAACUCCUUUUGUUAGAGAAGAUAAUGACGGUAUCUAACGAAUAAGCACCGGCUAACUCCGUGCCAGCAGCCGCGGUAAUACGGAGGGUGCAAGCGUUACUCGGAAUCACUGGGCGUAAAGAGCGCGUAGGCGGGAUAGUCAGUCAGGUGUGAAAUCCUAUGGCUUAACCAUAGAACUGCAUUUGAAACUACUAUUCUAGAGUGUGGGAGAGGUAGGUGGAAUUCUUGGUGUAGGGGUAAAAUCCGUAGAGAUCAAGAGGAAUACUCAUUGCGAAGGCGACCUGCUGGAACAUUACUGACGCUGAUUGCGCGAAAGCGUGGGGAGCAAACAGGAUUAGAUACCCUGGUAGUCCACGCCCUAAACGAUGGAUGCUAGUUGUUGGAGGGCUUAGUCUCUCCAGUAAUGCAGCUAACGCAUUAAGCAUCCCGCCUGGGGAGUACGGUCGCAAGAUUAAAACUCAAAGGAAUAGACGGGGACCCGCACAAGCGGUGGAGCAUGUGGUUUAAUUCGAAGAUACACGAAGAACCUUACCUAGGCUUGACAUUGAGAGAAUCCGCUAGAAAUAGUGGAGUGUCUGGCUUGCUAGACCUUGAAAACAGGUGCUGCACGGCUGUCGUCAGCUCGUGUCGUGAGAUGUUGGGUUAAGUCCCGCAACGAGCGCAACCCCCUUUCUUAGUUGCUAACAGGUUAUGCUGAGAACUCUAAGGAUACUGCCUCCGUAAGGAGGAGGAAGGUGGGGACGACGUCAAGUCAUCAUGGCCCUUACGCCUAGGGCUACACACGUGCUACAAUGGGGUGCACAAAGAGAAGCAAUACUGCGAAGUGGAGCCAAUCUUCAAAACAUCUCUCAGUUCGGAUUGUAGGCUGCAACUCGCCUGCAUGAAGCUGGAAUCGCUAGUAAUCGCAAAUCAGCCAUGUUGCGGUGAAUACGUUCCCGGGUCUUGUACUCACCGCCCGUCACACCAUGGGAGUUGUGUUUGCCUUAAGUCAGGAUGCUAAAUUGGCUACUGCCCACGGCACACACAGCGACUGGGGUGAAGUCGUAACAAGGUAACCGUAGGUGAACCUGCGGUUGGAUCACCUCCUUUCUAGA
rnacentral:rRNA from 1 species